rnacentral:rRNA from 1 species
UACAGAGGUCUCGAGCGUUAGGCGGAAUCACUGGGCUUAAAGCGUGUGUAGGCGGCGGGCUAAGUACCUUGUGAAAUCCCACGGCUUAACUGUGGAACUGCUGGGUAUACUGGUUCGCUUGAGCGGUCUAGGGGCGAGCGGAACAAAUGGUGGAGCGGUGAAAUGCGUAGAUAUCAUUUGGAACGCUAACGGUGAAAACAGCUCGCUGGGGACCUGCUGACGCUGAGACACGAAAGCCAGGGGAGCGAACGGG